UACGGAGGGUGCAAGCGUUAUCCGGAUUUACUGGGUUUAAAGGGCUCGUAGGCGGCCAACUAAGUCCGACGUGAAAUCCCAAAGCUUAACUUUGGAACUGCGUCGGAUACUGGAUGGCUUGAAUUCGGGAGAGGGAUGCAGAAUUCCAGGUGUAGCGGUGAAAUGCGUAGAUAUCUGGAGGAAUACCGGUGGCGAAGGCGGCAUCCUGGACCGACAUUGACGCUGAGGAGCGAAAGCUAGGGGAGCAAACGGG
rnacentral:rRNA from 1 species